rnacentral:rRNA from 1 species
CCUACGGGUGGCAGCAGUGAGGAAUAUUGGUCAAUGGACGAGAGUCUGAACCAGCCAAGUAGCGUGAAGGAUGACUGCCCUAUGGGUUGUAAACUUCUUUUAUAAAGGAAUAAAACGAGGCACAUGUGCCUUUUUGCAUGUACUUUAUGAAUAAGGAUCGACUAACUCCGUGCCAGCAGCCGCGGUAAUACGGAGGAUCCGAGCGUUAUCCGGAUUUAUUGGGUUUAAAGGGAGCGUAGAUGGGUUGUUAAGUCAGUUGUGAAAACUACGGGCUUAACUUGUAGACUGCAGGUGAAACUGGUUUUCUUGAGUGAAGUAGAGGUUGGCGGAAUGCCGAGUGUAGCGGUGAAAUGCGUAGAUAUUCGGAGGAACACCGGUGGCGAAGGCGGCCAACUGGGCUUUAACUGACGCUGAGGCUCGAAAGUGUGGGGAGCAAACAGGAUUAGAUACCCCUGUAGUC